rnacentral:lncRNA from 1 species
GAUUACCUUGUUAAUGACUCUGGUGUGGCUGUGAAGAUUGUGUGGCACCAGCUGCUCCUCCAGAAACUAAGGGUUGGUCUCUCUGAUGUCUCAUUUCAGCAUCUUCUUGCUGCUAUGAUUUAUACGGUGACUCACCUGCUUGCAUGCCGGUUGGAUAAGGGCUUGCUGCCACCUCAACAAAGCUGGUUUGGUGUGAUAAUCUCAAGCUAUAUUUACUAUCAGUAGAAAUUUUGUAAAGCCUGACAUGUUUAGUGCUUUUGCACUUGAGUCCCACAAGUUAGUAAAAUUUAAGAUUACUAUGAAUUUAGGGACUGAUAUGCAAUUGCCCUAGAACUCAAGAGUUUUUCUGAAAAAUAAAUAAUUAUUGAAUCUUUGACUGAGAUGGUUCAGUUUAUGAUAUGAUAUCUAUAAUCACCAUGUAUAUGCACAAUAUAUAGAAUGCAUACUGUAAAAUUUCUAG